rnacentral:rRNA from 1 species
AUUGAACGCUGGCGGCAGGCCUAACACAUGCAAGUCGAGCGGAUGAAGGGAGCUUGCUCCUGGCUUCAGCGGCGGACGGGUGAGUAAUGCCUAGGAAUCUGCCUGGUAGUGGGGGAUAACGUCCGGAAACGGGCGCUAAUACCGCAUACGUCCUGAGGGAGAAAGUGGGGGAUCUUCGGACCUCACGCUAUCAGAUGAGCCUAGGUCGGAUUAGCUAGUUGGUGGGGUAAAGGCCUACCAAGGCGACGAUCCGUAACUGGUCUGAGAGGAUGAUCAGUCACACUGGAAAUGAGAAAAGGUCCAGAAUCCUAAGGGAAGCAGCAGUGGGGAAUAUUGGACAAUGGGCGAAAGCCUGAUCCAGCCAUGCCGCGUGUGUGAAGAAGGUCUUCGGAUUGUAAAGCACUUUAAGUUGGGAGGAAGGGCAGUAAGUUAAUACCUUGCUGUUUUGACGUUACCAACAGAAUAAGCACCGGCUAACUUCGUG